rnacentral:pre_miRNA from 1 species
GUACUACUCUCUCUGUUUGGAAUUAUUUGUCGUAGAAAUGGAUGUAUCUAGAUGUAUUUUAGUUCUAGAUACAUCCAUAUCCGAGGCAAGUAAUUCCGAACGAAGAGAAUACGUG